GGCGACGUAGCCAAGUGGUCUAAGGCAGAGGUUUGCAAAACCUCCAUUCGGCGGUUCGAAUCCGCCCGUCGCCUCCA
rnacentral:tRNA from 2 species